GAUGAACGCUGGCGGCGUGCCUAAUACAUGCAAGUCGAGCGAACAGAUAAGGAGCUUGCUCCUUUGACGUUAGCGGCGGACGGGUGAGUAACACGUGGGUAACCUACCUAUAAGACUGGGAUAACUUCGGGAAACCGGAGCUAAUACCGGAUAACAUUUGGAACCGCAUGGUUCUAAAGUGAAAGAUGGUUUUGCUAUCACUUAUAGAUGGACCCGCGCCGUAUUAGCUAGUUGGUAAGGUAACGGCUUACCAAGGCGACGAUACGUAGCCGACCUGAGAGGGUGAUCGGCCACACUGGAACUGAGACACGGUCCAGACUCCUACGGGAGGCAGCAGUAGGGAAUCUUCCGCAAUGGGCGAAAGCCUGGCGGAGCAACGCCGCGUGAGUGAUGAAGGGUUUCGGCUCGUAAAACUCUGUUAUUAGGGAAGAACAAACGUGUAAGUAACUGUGCACGUCUUGACGGUACCUAAUCAGAAAGCCACGGCUAACUACGUG
rnacentral:rRNA from 1 species